rnacentral:misc_RNA from 1 species
UCUCCGUAGGUGAACCUGCGGAGGGAUCAUUACUGAGUGAGGGCGCAAGCCCGACCUCCAACCCCAUGUAAAUCAUACCAUGUUGCCUCGGGGGCGACCCGGCCCUCUGGGCGUCGGGGCCCCCGGUGGCUCACACCUCAACUCUUGCAUCUGUGCGUCUGAGUAACAUAUUGAAUCAAUCAAAACUUUCAACAACGGAUCUCUUGGUUCUGGCAUCGAUGAAGAACGCAGC